GACGAACGCUGGCGGCGUGCUUAACACAUGCAAGUCGAACGGAAAGGCCUGCUUUCCCUUGUGGAUUGCGGGUACUCGAGUGGCGAACGGGUGAGUAACACGUGAGUGAUCUGCCCCCAACUUGGGUAUAAGCCUGGGAAACUGGGUCUAAUUCCCGAUAGGACUGCAGGGUGGUGCCUGUGGUGGAACACGAUUUUCUAGUGGUUGGGGAUGAGCUCGCGGCCUAUCAGCUUGUUGGUGGGGUAAUGGCCUACCAAGGCGGCGACGGGUAGCCGGCCUGAGAGGGGGGACGGUCACAUUGGGACUGGGAUACGGCCCAGACUCCUACGGGAGGCAGCAGUGGGGAAGAUUGGAGAAUGGGCGGAAGCCUGAUGCAGCGACGCCGCGUGGGGGAUGACGGCCUUCGGGUUGUAAACUCCUUUCGACCGAGAGGAAGCCACCUGGUUGGAAGGGUGGUGACGGUAGUGGUAGAAGAAGCACCGGCUAACUACGUG
rnacentral:rRNA from 1 species